rnacentral:rRNA from 1 species
CAGUCGCCGCGGUAAUACGAAGGGUGCAAGCGUUACUCGGAAUUACUGGGCGUAAAGCGUGCGUAGGUGGUGGUUUAAGUCCGUUGUGAAAGCCCUGGGCUCAACCUGGGAAUUGCAGUGGAUACUGGGUCACUAGAGUGUGGUAGAGGAUAGUGGAAUUUCCGGUGUAGCGGUGAAAUGCGUAGAUAUAGGAAGGAACACCAGUGGCGAAGGCGACCACCUGGACUGAUACUGACACUGAGGUGCGAAAGCGUGGGGAGCAAACAGGAUUAGAUACCCCUGUAGUCCCUGUCUCUUAUAC